rnacentral:tRNA from 10 species
UCCUGAGUAGCUGGGACUAGAGGUGCCCGUCACCACGCCCGGCUAAUUUUCAUAUAUUUAGUAGAGACGUGGUUUCACCACGUUGGCCGGAUGGUCGCGAUCUCCUGACCUCGUGAUCCGCCCGCGUCAGCCUCCCAAAAUGCUGGGAUUGCAGGCGUGAGCCACCGCGCCCGGCCUACACUUUCUUACACCCACUCGGAGUUCGUCUGUGGAGAGCAGCCCCUGACUGAACUAAUGCGGCAGAAAUGAAGACUCAAUUUAUAUCAGCCUACAUUGCUGAGGAGUGUGGGAGAGAAUAUGACAGCCACACACUUCAAAGGUGGAAAAUAGAGGGACAAGUGUUAGUUUACUUGCCAGGAGAGGUCUGAAGCCUACUUUGGAAUGCAGGGAAGCAGAUGCCAAGGGGAUAGGAGGGAAGAACACUUGUGAAAGAUGAAGGGGAAAAGAAGCAUGCUUCUGUGGAAAACACUUUCAAGUUCAUUAGAUCAAACUUGUUGAGAAUGGCUGACAUCUGAGAAUCAAACCAACACUCCUCAGCAUUGAGUCAAAAAGUCACAGAAGGCAAGAGAUCCUUAUCCUUCAAGGCAAGAGAGAUGGAGCUAUUGGAAUAUUCUUUUUCCUUGAUCAAAAUAUCCUUCAUCGGGGAAAUAUUCUCUUGCAAAAAUACCACAGCUGUCUGGUAAGCCAUUUAUGACACAGCCUUAAACCCUUUGAAGGUAAGUAACACAAUUUGAUGUAUAUAUUCAUUUGUCAUUUAUAAACUAUUUUAUAGUUGCCCUAUUUCCUCAAAAAGAGUACUGCUUCAUGGCAGAAAAUAUGUAAGCUCUUUCUCUCUUCUACAAUGCCUGGCAGAAUAUUGGAUAUUUGGAAACAUAAAUAUCUGUGUUUUGAAUACCUCAAUGUUGUAAUCUGUGAGACUCAUUCUAGAAAACCACUAAAGUGCUAUUUUGAUGAUUAUUGCAAUUUUAUUUGAAAGCAUUGCUAAAAUGGACUAAUUAUGAUAUUUUGGGAGUUUUUUUCUAAAUUGUUUUCUCAUUUCCCAUCUUCAUAAGAUGCAGUAUGACUAAAUAAUAUUCACGAUCCCAUUUUGAACAAGAAAAAUAAAAUGCAUCUUGGUGUUCAAUUAAAUUACAAAUGACUUCAAGGUGUCAAUGUCUUUUUGGUUCUAGAAAAGACUUUCAAAUUAUACUGCUUAACAAUGACAUUUAUAAAAUGCUUUAUAUUUUUCAAAAUGCCUUCACAUAAUGAAAUUGUUACUAGCAACUCAAGGUUGCUUUUGAUUCAAUAGAAGAAAUAUUUUGGUAAUGAAAUUUUGCCGCCUCAAAUGUGCAGAAAGCAAAACCAUCUAUUUUAUGCUGCAAAGCAAACCAGGCAUUUUCAAGAAUAGCUAGUAGUCUGACGCUUCUGAAAAAAAGUUACAUAGUACAGGUCUAGAGGGAGUUCUGGAGAACAUUCAAGAAGGGUCUGCAUUGAUUUCGAAAGCAUUAGAAUCCAUCUACUAAAGUCCAUAAUAGAAACUGAGUACUUAAAGCGUCUUUCAAGCCAACAUUUUCCUGCUAGAACAUAUUUUAUUUACAUUGUGAUCACUUCAGAGAACGAAAUAGUGGGUGACAUCAUUCAAAUAUCUCCUUAAAAACAAUUGUUGAUUUUUUCCCCAUAAGUCUACAUUAAAAAAAUUUAAAGAAACUUAAAAAUCUAUUGAAAGUUGAAGUGUUUAUUAUGGUGCUCUGAGCUUGAGUAACUAUAGGUAAAUUUAAAUGAUGUAAUUAUAGCAAUUAAGUGUGGAACUGGUAGGACAUUUCCAGUUUAUUAUAUGUCAUAUAGACAAAUUAAUCAUCACCCAGGAACUUGAAAUGCUGUAAGUGUUGAAUUUUAACAUAUUUUAAAUUGGUGUCUACCUUUAUAUUAGCAGAACUUAUAAUGCUUAAAGUAAACCACCCAGAUGUUUCAAAUGAUUACAUAAACAAAUAAUAUUCCAUAUUAUUAUGAUUUUUCCUGCUUGUAUAUGAUAUACUGUUGAUAAUGCAAUCCGUUAGGAAAAGACAAACGUUUCUAGCAUUGUUCUCCCAGAAUGUUUGAAGUAUUUCUGUUUGUGUGGAUAUGCACUGGACAAUCCAGGUACAUAAAUGAUCAAUGUUGUUCUUUAACAGAGAUCUAAGCCACUGGGGGAGAAUGGAUAGCCUGGUCUGGGGGCUGAUUUUAUGAAGAACUUCUAGGCGUAGAUACAAGAAGUGGGUUCAUAAGCAUCAAGCCCUGCAAGGCAUUGCACGAAUGAAUAAAAUGCCUUUUCAAAGUAGGUCCUCCAAAAGAUCUACCUAAAUGGUAAAGCAAGAGGUAGAAGUGUUAACACAAAUAAUCAGAUUUUGAUAAACAUAUAUGGCAAUGAUUAUUUUGCCAAGUCAGCAAUUCCCCAAAAUAUGGUGCCUUGACACGCUAAGUGCUUUGAAAAUUACAAGGGCUCAGAAAUAAACCCCAGGACCAUGGUCUCUCUAUGACCUUUCCUCUCUGCCCCUGUCUUUCUCAUCCUUUCUGAAAGGACUAGGAGAAGCUCCCUCUAGAAUUUUCACAUUUAAGAAAAUUUCUUUCCAAAAGAAAUGCAAUUAUAUUAAGCCACCCUCCCUAGGAAUCUCACCAAAUAACCAGGAAAGAUCAACCACCAAAGAAGAUAAAAGACUGGGGGUCUCCACCACGCUCAGACAGACUUUUUAAUCUAUCUUCUGUGAACAGCUCCAACAGACUACCUGAAAGACUUUAUCUGCAUAGUAAGACAACCUUUGUUCCAGUGAACCGUAUGGUCUGAAUAAUGGGCUGGUUCAUUUCCCCACUCUCCUUCUUCUGUGAAUAAGCCAUUUAAGCCUCAAUCAUCUGGUCCAUCUUUGAGUUCAUAAUUUAAACAAUUCCCAUGCAUGUGUGUGUACAUAAUAGUAAUAUAUUUGUUAUUUUUUCUCUUCUUAUCCUGCCUUUUGUUAUAAGAGUGUCAGCCAUGACUCUUUAUAAAGGGGAGAAAAGAAAUCACUCCAUUUGCAUCUAUAGAAAGCAUUAUAUGCAGUCUAGGGGUGAUUUAAAACAGUGGUCCCCAGUCUUUUCGGCACCAGGGACUGGUUUCAUGGAAGACAAUUCUUCCAUGGACUCAAGGGCAGGGGAUGCUUGGGGGAUGAUUCAAAAACAAUACAUUUAUUUUGGACUUUAAUUCUGUUAUUAUUGUAAUAUAUAAUGCAAUAAUUAUACAACUCACCAUAAUGUAGAAUCAGUGGGAUCCCUGAGCUUGUUUUCCUGGAAAUAGAUGUUCGCCAUCUUGGGCUGAUGGGAGAGAGUGACACCCGAAUUGUGUUGCUUAAUCCUGUUGUAGUUGCUGUCACUGCAGAAAACCCUGCUUCCCUAAGGUAGAAUUUUGGAAAUGGAAGCAGGCUUUUCAAUGCUUUUGUGUUAACUUCAGGAUAUGCCCCUGCCUUGACUUUAAUCCAGAAUGUAUGGAGACUUGAAGUUGUCUCAAACAUACUUUUAAGGUCAGUGUCAUUUGCAAGCUCAAGCAGUUGAUCCUCUUCCAGUGUGGACAAAGCCAAUUUACCUGUUUAAUUCACAAAUGGGUUGCGCAUCCACCAUUCCUUCCCAGUUUGGGGGUCUUUCGUGGUUGGGAAGUAAUGGUCAAACUCUUUUGAAAGCUGAGAUAUGUGAUCAUGCACCACCUGGGGGAAAGAAGGUCCUGGCUCAGUCUCUUUCAAAAAUCUUUGCUAAUGUUUGAAACAUGUCAGAAGUCCCAGUGUUCAUUCAUCACUACCAUAACACCACUUUGGCUUUGAAUGCAGCCACUUUAUCUGUUGACUUUAACAGAGUUGUCAUUCUCCCCUGAAAUGACAGAUUGAGUUUGUUGAGCAGGUUGAAUAUGUCACACAAGUAAGCAAGUUUUGCGACCCAUUCUGUGUCACUGAAAUGUGCUGCCAGUGGUGACUGUUUUUCUAAAAGAAAUCUCUGGAGCGACUCUUAUAACUCAAAAAUUCUGGCCAGUGAUCUACCUUUAGAAAGCCAUCUCACUUCUGUGUAUAAGAGAAGACGUGUGUGCUCUGCGUCCAUCUCCUCACAGAGCUGCACAAACAGACGUGAGUUAACAGCAUGUACUUUAAUGUGGUUGUUAAUUUUAAUCACAUCCUGAAAAACGUUAAGUUCAGGUGACAUUUUGUGGCUAGCCAACAUUUCUCUGUGGAUGACAGAGUGUGUAGACUUAGAUUCAGAAGCGACCUCUUUGACCCGAGUCAGAUUUCAGUGAUUAUCAUGUUGAAAUAUACAAUUACAUGAUAAUUCCUAUUGUUAAUAGAAAUGCUUAUGCAGUGAAAAGAUCUAUGAGCUGGAGUAUUUCUGUUUUAUUGUUUUCAAUCUAAAUAUUGUACGUUUAAUGUAUGAGAAGAACAUUAAACUCCCAUCACUUAAGCAUAAUAACUGCCUCAUGUAUCUAUAUAAUGUUUCAAAGACAUUUUUAGGCCAUUUAAGCUUUUUUUUUUUUUGAGACAGUUUCCUUCUGUUGCCCAGGCUGGAGGGCAGUGGCGCGGUCUUAGUGCACUAAAACCUCCGUCUCUUGGGUUCAAGCGAUUCUGCUGCCUCAGCCUCCGGAGUAGCUGGGAUUAUAGGCACCCACCACAACACCUGGUUGAUUUUUGUAUUUUUAAUAGAGAUGGAGUUUCACUAUGUUGGCCAGCUUGGUCUCGAAUUCCUGACCUCAGACAAUCUGCCCUCCUCGGCCUCCCAAAGUGCUGGGAUUACAGACUUGAGCUACCGCGCCUGGCUUAAGCUUUUUAAUUUAUAAUAAAUAUCCACUGAAAGAUUUAUAAUAAAUAUCCACUGAAAGAUUUCCUGUUAAAUUUAGUGCAAUAUUUUAAGUGAUCGGCAGAACUUUAUUUUUUAUUUUUUUUUAACUUUUAUUUUAAGUUCAGGGGUGCAAGUGCAGAUUUGUUACAUAGGUAAAAUGUGUCAUAGGGGUUUCCUGCACAGAUUAUUUCAUCAUCUGUGUAUUAAGCCUAGUACCCGUUAGUUAUUUUUUUUUUUUUUAUCCUUUCUUUCCUUCCACCUUCCACCCUCUGAAUGGCCCCAGGGUGUGUUGUUCCCCUCUGUGUGUCCAUGUGUUCUCAUCAUUUAGCUCCCACUUAAAAGUGAGAACAUGUAGUAUUUGGUUUUCUGUUUCUGAGUUAGUUUGCUAGAGAUAAUCGUCUCCAGCUCCAUCCAUCUCCCUGCAGAGGACGUGAUCUUGUUCUUUUUAUGGCUGCAUGGUAGUCCAUGGUGAAUAGGUACCACAUUUUCUUUAUUCAGUCUAUCAUUGAUGGGCAUUUAGGUUGAUUCUGUCUUUGCUAUUGUGAUUAGUGCUACAGUGAACAUGCAUGUGCAUGUAUCUUUAUAAUAGAAUGAAUUAUAUUCCUUUGGGUGUAUAGCCAGUAAUGGGAUUGUGGGGUUCCAUUUGAGCAAUCGCCACACUGUCUUCCAUAAUGGCUGAACAAAUUUUCACUCUUACCAAUAGUGUAUAAGCAUUCUUUUUCUCCAUAACCUUGCCAGCAUCUAUGUUUUUGAUUUUUGUUUUCUUUUGACAUUUUAUUAAUAACCAUUCUGACUGAUUGAGAUAGUAUCUCAUUGUGGUUUGUAUUUGCAUUUCUCUAAUGAUCAGUGAUAUUGAGCUUUUCUUCAUAAGAUUGUUGACUAAAUGUAUCUCUUCUUUUGAAGAGUGUCUGUUCAUGUCCUCUGCCCACUUUUUUUAUGAGGUCAUUCUCUCAUUCUGUUGGUUGUCUUACUCUGUUGAUAGCUUCUUUUGAUUUGCAGAAGCUCUUUAGUUUAAUUACAUACCAUUUGUCAGUAUUUGGUUUUGUUGCAUUUGCUUUUGGCAUUUCAUUAUAAAAUCUUUGCCCAUGCCUAUGACCUGAAUGGUAUUGCCUAGGUUGUCUUCCAGGGUUUUUAUAGUAUGGGGUUUUACAUUUACAUCUUUAAUUAAUCUUGAGUUGAUUUUUGUAUAUGGUGUAAGGAGGGGUCCAGUUCAGUCUUCUGCAUAUGGUUAGCCAGUUAUCCAAGCACCAUUUAUUGAAUAGGAAAUCAUUUACCCCAUUGCUUUGUCAGGUUUGUUGAAGAUUAGAAAGUUGCAGGUGUGCAGUCUUAUUCCUGGGUUCUCUAUUCUAUUUCAUUCGUCUGCGUCUCUUUUUAUAUCAGUACCAUGCUGCUUUGGUUAUUGUAGCCCUAUAGUAUAGUUAGAUAUCAGGUAACAUGAUGUCUCCAGUUUUGCUAGAAUUGCCCUGGCUAUUUCAGCUCUUUUUUUUGUUCCAUAUGAAUUUUGAAAUAGUUUUUUUUUUUCAGUGAAGAAUGUCAUUGAUAGCUGGAUAGGAAUAGCAUUGAUUCUGUGAAUUGCUUUGAGCAGUAUGAUGAUUUUAAUUAUACUGAUUCUUCAUAUCCAUGAGCAUGAAAUGUUUUUCCAGUUGUUUGUGUCAUCUCUGAAUUCCUUGCACAUAGAUUCACAGCUGAAUUCUACCAGAUGUACAAAGAACAGCUGGUACCAUUCCUACUGAAACUAUUCCAGAAAAUUGAGGAGGAGAGACUCCUCUGUAACUCAUUCUAUGAGGCCAGCAUCAUCUUGAUACCAAAGCCUGGCAGAGAUAGAACAAAAACAGAAAACUUCAGGCUAAUGUCUUUGAUAAAUGUCAGUGCAAAAAUCAUCAACAAAAUACUGGCAAACGAAAUCUAGCAGCACAUCAAAAAGCUAAUCCACUACAAUCAAGUAGACUUCAUCCCCACGAUGCAAGUUUGGUUCAACACAUGCAAAUCAAUAAAUGUGAUUCAUUACAUAAACAGAACUGAAGGCAAAAACCACAUGAUUACCUCAAUAGAAACAGAAAGGACUUUCAAUAAAGCUCAACAACCAUUUAGGUUAAAAACUCUCAAUUAACUAGGUAUUGAAGGAACAUGCUUCAAAAUAAUAAGAGCCAUCUAUGACAAACCCAUAGCCAACAUCAUACCAAAUGGGUAAAAGGUGGAAGCAUUCCCUUUGAAAAAUGGCACAAAACUAGGAUACACUGUCUCACCACUCCUAUUUAACAUAGUAUUGGAAGUCCUGGCCAGGGCAAUUAGGCAAGAUAAAGAAAUAAAGGCAUCCAAAUAAGAAGAGAGAAAGUCAAAUUACCCAUGUUUACAAAUACCAGAUCCUAUAUCUAGAAAACCCCAUAUUCUUGGCCCAGAAGCUCCUUAAGUUGAUAAACAACUUCAGCAAAGUCUCAGGAUACAAAAUCAAUGUGCAAAAAUAAAAAUCACUAACAUUCCUAUACACCAACCACAGUAAAACCGAGAAUCAAAUCAGAAAUAAACUUUCAUUCACAGUUGCCACACACACACACACAAAAAAACAGCAACAACAACAACAAAGCACCUAGGAACACAGCUAACUAGGGAGGUGAAAGAUCUCUACAAGGAGAACUACAAACUACUGCUGAGAUAAUUUUAUUUUAAAUUUAAUAAGAAUUAUCGCUAAAUUUUAUUCUUUAGCAGAACAUUUAAAAUAACAUUUCAAUUUGGUAUCUGCUAUUGUUGUUAAUCUUAGGAUGCUUUCUUCUAUGCUACAAAAUUACUCAAAGUAAUAUUUGUGUGAGAAUAUAGGCCAGUAGAACAUUUAUUUAUUCAUUCAUUCAUUCUUUAGCUCAUUGACUUGAUAUGUACUAUGCUAUAGGUACUUGGCUAGACUGAGGAUGUAGAGAUGAAGACACACACCUUUCCCCAUAAGAUGGUGAAGUAGAGGGCUGAGAACAGACAUUUAAACCUACCAUGGGUGUUGUAAGAACCAGAUAAUAGUCAAUGCUGGUUUUUCCUCACCUUUGUGGAUCUUUGAAGAACAUGACAAAAACAAGCAAUGUGGAAAGAAUUCCCUAAUGAAUAACUGUUUUUGGGAAAACUGACUACCCAUAUGCAGAAAACUGAAACUGGACCCCUUCCUUGCACCUUAUACAAAAAUUAACUCAAGAUGGAUUAAAGACUUAAACGUAAGACCUAAAGCCAUAAAAACCCUAGAAGAAAACCUAGCAAUACCAUUCAGGACAUAGGCAUGGGCAAAGACUUCAUGACUAAAACACCAAAAGGAAGGGCAACAAAUGUCAAAAUAGACAAAUGGGAUCUAAUUAAACUAAAAAAACUUCUGCACAGCCAAAGAAACUAUCAUCAGAGUAAACAGGCAGCCUACAGAGUGGGAGAAAAUUUUUGCAAUCUAUCAAUCUGACACAGGGCUAAUAUCCAGAAUCUACAAGGAACUUAAACAAAGUUACAAGAAAAUAACAAACAACCACGUCAAAAAGUGGGCAAAGGAUAUGAACAGACACUUCUCAAAGGAAGACAUUUAUGCGGUCAACAAACACAGGAAAAAAGUCUCAUCAUCUCUGGCCAUUAGAGAAAUGCAAAUCAAAACCACAAUGUGAUAGCAUCUCACACCAGUUAGAAUGGCGGUCAUUAAAAAGUCAGGAAACAGAUGUGGAGAGGAUGUGAAGAAAUAGGAACACUUUUACACUGUUGGAGGGAGUGUAAAUUAGUUCAACCAUCGUGGAAGACAGUGUAGCAAUUCCUCAAGGAUCUUGAACCAGAAACACCAUUUGACCCAGCAAUCCCGUUACUGUGUAUAUACCAAAAGGACUAUAAAUCAUUCUACUAUAAAGACACGUGUACGUGUAUGUUUAUGGCAGCACUGUUCACAAUAGCAAAGACUUGAAACCAACCCAAAUGACCAUCAAUUAUAGACUGGAUAAGGAAAAUAUGGCACAUAUACACCAUGGAAUACUAUGCAGCCAUAAAAAAAGAGAUGAGUUCAUGUCCUUUGCAGGGACAUGGAUGAAGUUGGAAACCAUCAUUCUCAGCAAACUAACACAGGAACAGAAAACCGAACACCGCAUGUUCUCACUCAUAAGUGAGAAUUGAACAAUGAGAACAUAUGGACAGAGGGAGGGGAACAUCACACACUAGGGCUUGUCAGAGGCUAAGGCCUAGGGGAGGGAUAGUGUUAAGAGAAUUACACAAUAUAGAUGAUGGGUUGAUGGGUGCAGCAAACCACCAUGGAACAUGUAUACCUAUGUAACAAACCUGCACAUUCUGCACAUGUAUCCCAGAACUUAAAGUAUAAUAAUAAAAAAAUACAGAAAAAAAUAGUCAAUGCAACAACUUGGAUUUUGUUUCCUGUUUAGAAGGUUUUUUUUUUCCUUUGUACUGAGAAAAUUGAAGAAGUAUUGGCUUAUAGUCUAAACCUAGAAAAGACUACACUUCACCUGAAAAACUGCCAGCCAAGGCCUUCAUAUCUAGUGAUUUGACUAUGGUUCAAUUAUUAACACAGAAAGGAAGAAACUAACAAAAUCCAGUGUCUUAAUAAAGCAAUACAUCACUGUCAAAUAGCAUAUGGAGAACCACACCAAUAAG